rnacentral:tRNA from 1 species
GUCCUUGUAGCUCAACGGAUAGAGUACCAGUUUCCGGAACUGGUGAUGAGGGUUCAAUUCCCUCCGAGGACG